rnacentral:rRNA from 1 species
AUACCAAGUGAUUAAGUUAUAUCUUUAGGUAAAAAGACAGUUAGGUUUCUAAUAAUUUUAGUUUAUUAAACAUCUAUAAAAAAGUAAAAUUUGUAUAUAGAUAGCUAAUCUAGAAGUAACUAUAACAAUGCUGAAGCUGUGAUAAUCUUGAGGGAAACUGGGAUUAGAUACCCCAUUAUUCUUGAUUGUAAAUAGAAUAGAAAUUUACCAGAGUACUAUGAAUAGUUAAAAAUUUAAAACUCAAAGGGCUUGGCGGUGUUUUAGACCUAUCAGGGGAACCUGUCUCGUAAUCGACAAUCCACGUUAUAUCUAACCUUUUUUUGUAUUCAGUCUGUAUACCGUCGUCGUCAGGUAACUUUUAAAAAUAUAGAAGUUAGCGAUAAAAACUAUGUAAAUUAAGACGUCAGAUCAAGGUGCAGCCUAUAAAAAGGAGAGGAUGGGUUACAAUUAUAAAAUUUAUAAUCACGGACAUUUAAAUGAAAUUAUAUUUAGAAGGAGGACUUGAAAGUAAACUAAAAUAUAUAAAUAGCUUGAAUAAGGCUCUG